AAAUAUCGACACAAUAUAUGAAAUGCUAGAAUCCUAUAUAAUGUGUCCUUUCAAUUGCUGCCCCUUCUAGAUAUGUUUGAGACAAACUUGAAAUAACAACGUUACGUGAAUAGAAUAACAAUUGAUAAUACAAUCCCAUGACACAAAUUGCCGCUGCAGAUGAACUUUCCACUACCCUAGGCCUCAACUGAAAGGUCCUAACCAUGACAUGUGUGUUAUUGGCUCCUAAAGCAAACGUAAACGUGGCAUUCUAAUAGUACCCAACUUACACCCCCUAGAGGGCCCAAAAUUUAAGCCAAUUCUUAAUCAAAUCACAAUCCCCCACACGGGAAUCGUACACGUGUAGCCACGUGUCUAGCUUGCUGACCUAAUAUUUGGUUAAGAUCUUAACCCCAGGUCACACCCAUUCGUGGUUAGGACCACGCAAUUCCAUAUUUAUUUGGUACCGGUCUUCACAACUUGAUUUGGCCAAAUAUCAAACACCUGGUAUGCGCGAAUUGACUCCGUUCCUUCUCUCACCUUUUCCUCUCAACUCCCUUGACAAAAACCCAAGAUUUCAGCUACCCAUGUUCAGAAACAGUGAAAUAACAAAUGGGGCUUUCGGGUUUUCCAAGUCCAGCUGAGGGAAUGCUACCGGUAUUGGUAAUGAACACAGUGUUAUCAGCGGCCUUAAUCAAGAACAUGUUGAAAUCAAUGCUUCAAAUGGUGGGUGCUACUUGGGAUCAAUCCAAUUCGCAAGAAGAAGAAACAUCAGUUUCUAAUGAAAGCAGUAGUAGCAGCGGGUCAAGAGAAAGAAGAGUGUCAAUUACUAGGUACGAGUCUCUGUGUAAAAAUAGGUGCGGCGGCGGCAGAGGGACGACAAUGGAGUGUUGUGUGUGUUUAAGUAAGUUUAAAGAUGACGAAAAGGUGAGUGAGUUGUCGUGUAAGCAUUUCUUUCAUACGAGGUGUUUGGGCAAGUGGUUCGAUAAUCAACAUAGUACUUGUCCUCUCUGCCGUUCCAUUUUCUGACUGGAAUAUUGCAGAGUAUAGGUAGAUGAAUGGUAUCUGAUUUGACGCUUCAAUUGUAAAUUAGUUUUUGGUUUUGGUUAUAUAAUUAGUCUAUAUAUAACUAAUUUAGGGUAAUCGGUUCUGUAUUCUAGAGAUGAAUGAUGAUUCUUCCUCUUUCUUUAUCUUUAAUUUGCUAAAGAAAUGUCACUAUGAGAAGGAUGCUUUCCCCUUUUGUUACCUGUCAACUUUUCAUGGCCUCUUUGUAAAAUCUGAUUGUAUAAGAGCAUAUUUACUGGUGGGAUUGAAAAGGAAGAAUUAACAGAAAGUUACUACUAAUAUAGUAAUAUUAUACUCCCUCCGUUUUCUUAUAAAAGAAAAUAAUUCUAACUCUAAACUUUUUAUUUUAUCAAUUUUAUCCUUAAUGAAAAACUUUUAUAACCACACAAAUGUCAUGAUCCUGCAAAGUUUUUAAGAAUACACAUUUCAGAAGUUUUCCUCUUUUUUCUUAAAUUUCGUGUCGAAUUAAAUUAACUCAUUUAAAUUGAACGAAGAGAUUAUUUUUUGGCUUGGUUCUUUUUGAGCUACUAUGGGACAUUGCACAAAAAAGGAUAAAGUUUAUUCUUUCUCGGAUUUAACUAUGUAGUUUUGGAACUUUAGUGGUAUUCUGCAAAGAAAAGAUGCACCAAGUAUAUUCUAAACUACUACAUGCCUAAUACAAAGAAGGUGUUCGCAAGACUGGUAAAGUAAAUUGCUGUGUUGUAUCCUUACAACUUGCAAAGUCCUAGUCUCCCAGUUCCGAAAUCGGUCCACAUCCUGCCAGCACGCUCAGGUUCAAGAAAACAAUGAAGUUGGUCCAUAAUUUGUUUUACUAUAUGUAUACGGGUGAACUCGGGGUCAGCACACCCCGAGUCGACGGUGGGUCAAAUGAAUAUGAAUGUAUGAGAUAGAGAUCGAAUCUGAAAAAACUCUGAAAAAACUCUUUGGUUCGAGGCUGGAACGGGGUGCUCGCCAUCGGGCCCGACAAGAUAACACCCUCCGAACCCAAAACGAGCUCCAAGACCUCAGAAAGCAUUACAAACUGUUGCACACGACUAACAGACGCCCGUGAUAUCCACACCCAACAGGAUAUCACGGCGCGGAUCUCGCCUGAUGCCGGUAGCGUAUCACUGAUUGAUGUACAAGGAGAAUUUUUACCCUUUUUAGAAUUGUACUAGGGGUAAAACUCCCCUACUAUAUAAAGGGGAAGUUUUUUAUCCAAUAGAGACAUUGUAAAACGCUUAUCAAGGCAAUACAAACUUAUUUCUCUACUUUCUAGCUAUUGAAAGAUCCUUGUUUUAAUCAUAGUUCUUCAUACAUAUUUGGCUUCGAAUCAAGGGUGCGGGCGGGAGCAAAACUAUUGCAAACUUAAAUUCGAGCCCAGACUCAACGUCACAAUUGGUUUGGUUAUUUAUUUUAUCCUUAAUUCGUUUAGCUAACAUUCUUGAUUACUUGUAUUGAAUCAAUCCACAUAUCCUUAAAACUGCGUAUAAAUUUAAUUAUUAUCCAUUUCAAGGGUAAACAGUUUGGCUCCCAGCGUGGGGCCAAGGAUAACUGUAGUGGUUUGAUACAAAUUUCCAUAACACACUCUAUUUUACACUUGUUCUUUAAGGUCUUAAUUUCAGGUCAGUUUAAAAAUGUCAAAUUCUCAGUCUGCUCACCUGAACGUUGAGGAUGGGUCUGGCCAUCAUGGCAAAAAUAACAAUCUGGUGCCUAUCAAUAAGGUGCCCCCUACUGAUCCCAACGUGGUCCCAGUCAUAGACCUAGUCGAUGCUAACUCGCAGGUGGUGAUCGACGCCAACCUACUACCGACCCCGAGAACAGCGUUCGCGGAGGAGCCCGACCAACGGCUCAAGGAGCGCCCGAAGGCCAAGGUGACGGGGUCAGUCUACGAUUGAUCUUCGAAAUGUUGCAAGCUCAAUAGGCGGCGAUUGCGCAGCUGCAAAUUCAAAGGCGCGCCCCCAGUAGGGUGGAGCCCGAACCAUCCCGAAAAAACACCCGAAAAAAUGAGUAGAUCACCGAAAUGCCCGGUGAAGCUGAGUUCGGUGUCAGCCCUGAAGUAAUGAAAUGCUUGAAACAUUAAUGAAACUAGGUGGAAUCAGGUGAAAAGAAAAUUGAGGAAAACGACAAAAAAGUGAAAACAUAUAAUUCCGGGUCGGUCAAAUCCCAGGAGCGCCCCCGAUAUUGAAAGGCUCGGAUUCCAAGAAAAUUAUCCAAAAGCCUUUUCCUCCGAGCGCGGUACCAAAGCCAAUCCCGAAGAGGUUUCAUAUGCCCGAUAUUCCAAAAUAUAACGGAACCACGGAUCCGAAUGAGCAUGUGACCUCCUACACAUGCGCCAUAAAAGGUAACGACUUGGAAGAUGACGAAAUCGAGCCAGUGUUGUUAAAAGAGUUCGGGAAAACUCUGUCAAAGGAGCAAUGAUAUGGUACCACAAAUUGCCCCCAAAUUCCAUUUAUUCGUUCGCUAUGCUCGCGAAUGCUUUUGUAAAGGCUCAUGCCGGGGCCAUCAAGGUCGAGACUAGAAAAUCAAAUCUUCAAAGUUAAGCAAAGGGACAACGAGAUGCUCAUGGAAUUCGUGUCAAGAUUUCAAAUGGAACGUAUGGACUUGCCUCCGGCUGUGAACGAUUAGGCCGUUCAGGCAUUCACUCAAGGACUUAACCCCCGUAGCUCCUUAGCUUCGCAGCAGCUGAAAAACAAUUUGGUAGAAUACUCGGCGGUAACUUGGACCGACGUCUACAACAGGUACUAGUCAAAAAUUAGAGUUGAGGACGACCAACUCAGAGCCCCUUCUGGGUCCGUUUAUCCCAUCAGAACGAACGACAUACCUAAGAGAGUCGUCGAUCAUGAAUCAAGGUCAGUCUGAGAUCGGUAUCAGCCAUACAGUGUAUAUCGGAGGGAAAGCAGACCCCGACGAAACCCUACGAGGAACGAGAAGGGAAACGAUGGUGGGACCAAUAACCGAGGUGUGAUGAGCAAGAACGGUUUUGACAGCCCGCUCGGGGGAAGGGAAGCACCAAGAUUAUCAGAGUAUAACUUCAACAUUGAUGCAACCAGCAUCGUAUCGGCUAUGGGGCGCAUCAAGGAAACCAGUAGCCUCGACCAUUGCAGUCCGAUCCUACCUAGAGAGACCCUAACCUGAUGUGUAAGUAUCAUGGAACUCAUGGCCAUAGGACUGAGGACUGCCGACAAUUGAGAGAAGAAGUUGCCCGAUUGUUCAAUAACGGGCACCUCCGAUUGUUUCUGAGUGAUCGAGCCAAAAUCCACUUCAGGAACAGAGACUCCAAUAAACAAACUGAACAAGAAGAACCUCAGCACGUCAUCAACAUGAUUAUUGGAGGGGUCGAUGUCUCCCAGGGGCCUAUGAUAAAGUGCACUAAAGUAUCCAUCACAAGAGAAAAUCACACUCGAGAUUACAUUCUGGAGGGAACCAUUUCGUUCAGGGACGAGGAUGCCGAGGGCAUCGUACAACCUCAUAAUGAUGCACUACUGAUAUUCGUACUUAUCAACAAAUCUUGAGUUAAACGUGUAUUGAUUGAUCCAGGCAGCUCGACCAACAUCACCAGAUCGAGGGUUGAAGAGAAGUUGGGGUUACAGGAUCAAAUAGUGCCGGCGGUCCGAGUGUUGAACGAAUUUAACAUGGCAUGCGAAACUACUAAAGGCAUAAUAACCCUGCCAGUGAAUACCGUCUGGACGAUUCAAGAUACAAAAUUCUACGUAAUCGAAGGGGACAUGAGGUAUAACGUCUUAUUCGGAAGGCCAUGGGUUCACAACAUAAGGGCAGUACCCUCAACAUUACACCAGGUACUGAAGUUCCCUACGCCCGGAGGAAUCAAGACAGUCUACGAAGAGCAGCCGACUGCAAAGGAAAUGUUCCCAGUCGAUGAGGUGAUCCCAGUGCCCGUGGUCUCGACAUCAAAGAAUACAGAGCCAACUAGGAAGGAAGAAAUUAAAUAGAAAUCACCGAUACCGACCCCGACCGAACCAGAAGAGCGAGGAGCAGGCGAGAAGGAUGAUUACGGAGUUCCUAGGUUGUUCAUUGCUCCCGAUGAUUUCGAUGCCACCAAAUCAACAGUCAAUGAGCUGGAGCAAGUCAUAUUGAUCGAACACUUACCCGAUCAGAAGGUAUACCCGGGCACGGGGUUAACUCCCGAGCUUAGGAAAAAACUCAUUGAAUUUCUUAUAGCUAUCAUAGAUUGUUUCGCUUGGUCCCAUCUUGACAUAACAAGGAUCCUGCCGGAGGUAACCACUCAUAUGUUGAGUUUGGAUCCAAAGUUCUACCUGGUUAAGUAGAAAAGAAGACCGCAGUCCGAGGUCAAGUACACAUUCAUCAAGGAUGAGGUAUCUAAACUCCUUAAAAUAGGAUCCAUUCGGAAAGUUAAGUACCCGGACUGGUUAACCAACGUAGUGGUAGUACCUAAGAAAGGAAAUAAGCUAAGAAUGUGUGUGAAUUAUAAAGAUCUGAACAAGGCAUGCCCUAAGGAUUCUUUUCCUUUGCCUAACAUUGAUCGGAUUAUCGACGCGACGGCCGGGCACAAGAUACUCAGUUUUCUUGAUGCCUAUUUCGGGUACAACUAAAUUCAGAUGGACCCGGUCGAUCAAGAAAAGACUUUCUUUAUCACUAAUUCGGCACUUAUUGUUAUAACGUAAUGUCGUUCGGAUUAAAGAAUGCCGGUGCUACCUAUCAACGCCUAGUAAACCGAAUGUUCGAAGAACAUAUAGAAAAAUCAAUGGAAGUUUACAUUGACGACAUGUUAGUUAAGUCCCUACGAGCAGAGGACCAUUUGAAACAUUUGCAGGAAACCUUCGAUAUAUUGAAGAGAUAUACUAUGAAGAUGAACUCAGAAAAGUGCACAUUUGGGGUUGGAUCCGGAAAAUUUCUCAGGUUCAUGGUAUCCAAUCGAGCGAUCGAGAUCAACCCCGAUAAAAUUAAAGCCAUAGAAGACAUCACGGUGGUGGACAACGUCAAGGCCGUUUAGGGGAUGACUAGGUGUAUAGCCUCCUUGGGCCGGUUCAUAUAGAUAUCCUCGGACAAAAGCCAUCGGUCCUUCUCAUUGUUGAAAAAGAAGAAUAACAUUUCCUGGACCCCAGAAUGAAAACAAGCUUUGGAGGAACUCAAACGGUACCUUUCGAGUCCCCCCUGCUCCACACUCUGAAGGAGGAUGAAUAGCUGUACCUUUACAUGGUGGUUUCCGAGGUGGCGGUACGUGGAGUCUUAGUCCGGGAAGAGGAAGGUAUGCAAUUCCCUAUUUACUAUGUCAGUAGAACUCUAGGCAAGGCUGAAAUGAGGUAUCCUCACUGGAAAAAUUGGCGCUCGCUUUGCUAAGCGCCUCUAGUAAGUUAAAACCGUACUUUCAAUGUCACCCCAUCUGUGUCGUAACCUCUUACCCACUGAGGAACAUCAUGCACAAACCCGAGCUCUCUGGCCGGUUGGCCAAAUGGACCGUCAAAAUCAGCUGGUACGAUAUCAAGUAUCGGCCCCGAACCUCCAUAAAAUCUCAAAUUUUGGCCGACUUCGUGGCUGACUUUACGCCGACAUUAGUAACCGAAGUCGAAAGAGAAUUAUUGCUAGCCUAAGGGACUGCCACGGGAAUUUGGACCCUCUUUACGGACGGUGCCUCGAACGCAAAGGGGUCCGGGCUCGGCAUCGUGCUGAAACCGCCUACGGGAAAUAUAGUUAGGCAGUAUAUUAGAACUGUGAAAUUGACUAACAAUGAGGCUGAGUAUGAGGCCAUGCUUGUAGGUCUCGAAUUGGCUAAAAGCCUUGGGGCCGAGGUGGUCGAAGCUAAGUGCGAUCCCGUCCUCGUGGUAAAUCAAGUAAAUGUGACGUUCUAAGUGAAAGAGGAAUGAAUGCGAAGGUAUUUAGACUAGUUAUAGGCAAUGCUGCAUCAAUUCAAGGAAUGGACCCUACAACACGUGCCCUGAGAUCAAAAUAACGAGGCUGAUGCUCUGCUAACUUAGGGUCAUCAGUUAAUGAUGACAAAUUCAGUUCGAGAACAGUCGUAUAGCUCAUGAAGAUGGUGAUAGAAGAAAGCCAUGCCGAGUAAACUUAACGAGUUUAACCUAGGAUUGGAGGAACAAGUACAUAGACUACUUGAAAACUGGGAAAUUGCCCUCGAAUCCCAAAGAAUCGAGAGCCCUGCGUACCAAGGCUACCAUAUUUAGCUUGGUCGAAGGAACACUGUUCAGGAGAACGUUCGACGACCCGUUAGCCAUAUGCUUGGGGUCGGGAGAUACCGAGUACGGUUUGAGAGAAGUUCACGAAGGCACUUGCAGGAACCAUUUGGGGGCAGGAUCUUUGGUUUGGAAAUUAAUCAGGGCCGACUAUUAUUGUACCGAAAUGGAGAAAGAUGCAAAGGACUUCGUACGAAAGUGCGAUGAUUGACAGAGGCACGCACCGAUGAUCCAUCAACCUGGAGAGAUAUUCCAAUUGGUCCUGUCCCCGUGGCCGUUUAUGAAAUGGGGAAUGGACAUCGUCGGUCCCCUACCAUGGGCACUCGGUAAAGUUCAAUUCAAACUAUUUAUGGCUGAUUAUGUUUCCAAAUAGGUCGAGGCUCAAGCAUUCGAAAAGGUCCAGGAAAAAGAAGUCAUUUACUUCAUGUGGGACCAUAUAAUAUGUCGAUUUGGGAUACCGGCCGAAGUCAUGUGUGAUAAUGGAAAACAAUUCCUCGGCAACAAGGUAAAUAAAUUUUUUGAAGAUCACAAGAUUAAGAAGAUAUUAUUAACACCUUACCACCCUAGUGGGAACGAACAUGCAGAAUCAACAAACAAGACCAUACUUCAAAACCUAAAAAAGAGGUUGACCGAUGACAAAGGGAAAUAGAAGGAAAUCUUGCCCGAAGUCUUGUGGGCAUAUCGUACAACCUUGAAGUCUAGUAUUGGGGCCACUCCAUUUUCGUUGGUCUACGUGGCCGAAGCCUUGAUACUAGUCAAGGUGGGAGAACCGAGCCUCAGGUUCCAAUAUGCAAUCGAAGAGUCAAAUGGCAAGGCCAUGAUUACGAGCCCGAAACAAUUGGAUGAAAGGCGUGAGGAAGCUUUUGUCCGGUUGGCAGCCCAGAAAUAGCUGAUAGAGAGAUACUACAACCGAAGAGCCAAUCUCCGACAUUUCAAUAUCGGGGACUUGGUUUUGAGGAAAGUAAUAUUACACACCCGGUACCCGAACGAGGGAAAGUUGGGACCGAAUUGGGAAGGACCGUAUCGAGUCAUCAGAAUUACCGGUAAAGGCUCAUACAAACUCAAAGCGGGAAACAGUGUGCAACUACCGAAUAACUGGAACGUGAUGCACUUAAAGCGGUACUACUGCUAAGGUAUGACCUUAAAUACUCUUUAAUCAUGUUAUGAAUCAGACUAAUACUUGCAGGAAACGGCCAAGGAUGGAUGUGGCUAUUAGGUCUGAAAGCAUGCGUUGCACUUUUUUUCCUUGAACCGGUUUUGUCCCAAAAUGGGUUUUUUGGUAAGGUUUUUAAUGAGGCAAUAGUAAAACGUGCCAACUUAGAUUCUAAGGCCCGUUUCAGGCCGGAGUCAAAGAUCGUUCGCUUCAUGUAAACAGUAGCCCUCUCAAGCUCGACCUCGAAUACUGGGGGACAUUACCCUCGGACUAAGGAUCAAGGGAUUUUAGCAAGGAAAGAAGAACAACUUUGUAUACUAGAAGCUAUGGCUUGGUGGUUAGGAUUCACUAUAAGGGCCAAACGGUCAUAUGAAUCGUGCUCACAUAGUCCACUCAAGCCAUGACACAAGUUUUUAUGCGCUUCCGAUCAUGUACUUUACACACUGAGAAAUAAAAGAAAGUUUUGCCUUGCUAUUUACACAUUUCCUUGCCUGUUAAAUUUAUGAUCCUAAGAGCCCACGGGCUACCCUUACUCGGGGGCUAUCAAGCCCAAGGGCUACCCCUAUUCGGGGACUGUUGUCCGAAGAAGAUUCGAACAACCCGGGCUAUCAAAUCCCGGAGGAACCAAACCUAUGAGAUGGUGCCCAAAUACGAAAGGCUACGACCACCCAAAAAAUGGCUCGGAGAUGUCCGAAGCUUAAGGCCUUUAUAAGAACUCGAAACAUGCUAAGAGGUUACCCUCGACAAUAUCGUCUAAAAGUCGCUUAAGCAUAUUGAAAGAAAUCUCCGGUCACACCGAAUUUUCACAGCCUCGAACAAACAAAGUUGUAUCGAGAUCGGGCCUUGUUCGGACCUCUAACUACAGUCGAUUUUAUGCUAAGGCAUUAGAAACGUUACAUGAACAGAAAGUAUGAAAAGAUGCUGGAAAGGUACAAGUACGAUAUUGCCGGAGAGGAAAAAUUUCAUAUAUAUAUAUAUAUAUAUAUAUAUAUAUAUAUAUAGAGAGAGAGAGAGAGAGAGAGUAUAUUUACAAAGUCCUAAUAAAAACGACCUCAAAAUAAACGAAAAUAAUUGUACAUAGGGCAAAAACUAAAAAAGCACUAAGGAAUCUACGCCUAGUCUUCACCCGGGGCCGACUCAAAGCCGUCAGAGUCUCCGAAGCCCUUGGAACCCUCAGAACCCUCAGAGCCUUCGGCACCUUCGGCACUUUCGGGCUCGUAAAGCUUCUUUGCCUUGUCCUCAGAAUUUUUGCCUUCCUCGAUCUCAGCCAACAGGUCAAAACAUCGGACGUGAAUCUCUUCGAAGUCUCUCUUCGGGAUAACCGCUUCAUAUAUUCAGCCUUUGCCUUUAGGCAAACCUCAGCUGCCUCCACAUCGGCCUUGUAUUGGGCCACCAUUUCUUCAGCAUCGACGGAGGUCGUAUCCAAUUUGGACUCCACUGCCUCGUAUUCUCUACUGAGGGCGUCCCGAUCUGUGACAGCCGAGCUCAGCUGUGCUCGGAGAUUGUCAUUUGGUUGAGACCACUUGUCAGCUUUCUCCUUUGCCAUCUGGAGUUGGACCUCUACUGAUGCCAGCUUCGCUUUGGCGGUUUCCUUCUCCGAAUCCAUCACGUCCAUUUUGCUUUUCCACCCGUCAGCCAUGGCUUGGACCUCGUUCAUCUCGGCUCGGAGUUGGUCGAUCAGGUCAAUCUUUUGUUGGACCUGCGAGGUUGUGUUGUUAGCCACCAUGACUAGCUCCUCAUUUCUAACUUCAAAGACCUUUACUUUUUCGACCAGAUCAUCAUGUUCCCGCUUCAAGGUAGAAGCUUCCUUUUGAGCCCUGUCCAGCUCGGCCUGAAGAUCCUUGACGGCCCUAUCUUGUUGUUCACUAAGAAGCCUUUACAUGUCCUUCUUCCGAACCUGCUCCUUGAGCUCCAAAUCGAGAUGGGUGAUUUUGGAGCGGUACCGGAGGAAGAUCUCGUGGUGAAGCAUCGAGGCCUGCAAAGUAACAAAAAUAAUAAGAGGUAUUGAAACCUAAGUGGAAUUAACAAAUGAGUAUUGAUGCCUUACCCGGUUCAGCGCCUGCUGCACCUUAUUGAAGUGACACGACGCCCCCACCUCGUUCAUCUUCGUCUAAUCCUCUUUGAUCACCAGGCAUCAGAGAUAGCUGGUUAUGCCCAUUGGAGCAGAUAAAAUUCGAGCAUCUGUCGGGACAGUAAGAAUGACUAUUCUCUUACGGCCGGGGUCUACACUCGGAGCAGGAACUGCUUCACAAAUUUUGGGCUCGAACUCGGCCUGCCAGUUUCCAAAGGCACAUCCUUCUUCGGGAUCUCCACGUCCCCCAGCCCAGAAAAAUCUUCCAAAAUGGACAUAUCCACGCCAUCGAAGAAGGAGUGAAGAGGGUCGUCCGGGCCGUGAACUCCUUCACUUGACUUUUCUUUUCCUGCUUGGGCCUCCUCAAGCAUGGACUCGGUGUAGGAGGGCGUCUCCAUGAUGUCUAUUACAUCGGUCACCUCCUUCAGAGCAGAAGCGGCUUCUCGGGAGGUCUCAGCCCUCGUCUCCGUCUCGGCCUCUUGAGUCGGAGGGAGGUCGACCUCACCGCUCUCUCCCUCGGCUGCCGCCUGCUCCCUGGCAAUGGUCGAUUCGUGAGCGACAAAAAUGUCAUCUUCUUCAGACUCAUCCCUGAGCCGGCAAAGUGAGUCAGAAUCCGGUACCCUGGAGUUGGUGCUCUUCUUGGGCUUACGAGCCCGGGAUGUCGCCCUCUCUUUUGGCUUCACCUCAGGACCCGGGGAGCUCAAAGACUUUCUUUUCCUCUUCUUCUUCUCCGCCGAGGCAGCCCCGGGUUGUCCUUUAACGGAGGGAUCAAUGUAUAGGGGUACAUCCUCCUCCCCUUCCAGCGGCCUAAGUUCGGUGGUCUUAGAAGAACCUACGAAAGAUAGAGAAAAGGUCAGCGUUAUGUAAGUUCAAGGCGUAAUAGUAACUAUUCUGACAAGAGCCUUACCAUGAGAACGGGCCUCCUAUCGGCCCUUCAAAAGCUUGUUCCACAAGCGCUCAAAGUACGACAUCUUCUUGAAGAUGCCUUCGAUCCACUCCUUGUGCCGAGCGACCGCAUUGGGAACCCGAGCAACAGCUGCACGAUCACAAAUACUGAUGGUGAGAAAGGGAACAAAGGAGACUCGACACUUAAGGAAAGACUACACUUACGAUAUGCAUUCUACUUCUCGGGAAAUGGCAGGAACUCAGGAGGGAUUAAAUCUUCAGUCUUUACCCGAACGAAGCGCCCCUGCCAGCCUCGGUCUCGAUCUUCAUCGAUGCUCGAAAAUGGGGCCUUGCUGGCCUCGGCGAGUGGGCUAGAUUUGUCCCUCUCAGAAAAUUCGGGGACUGCAUAGACGGAGUAGGUGGUCGAGGGUGAACCGAGGAGACUUGAUGUUGUUCAACAAAAUAACAUGGGAGGAUCAUGAUCCUACAAAGAGACUGGUGGAUUUUCCCAAGUCACACCUCGUAUCUCUUGCAGAAGGCAAAAACUACUGGGUCUAUCGGGCCCAGUGUGAAGGGAUAAGUAUAAAAACUUAAAUACCCCUCCACAUGAAUGGUAAUAUCGUCCUGAGGCUCAGGGACUACCACGUCCUUACCUCCCCAUUUACAGUCCUUUCGGACUGUGGGAAGGGUAUCUUCGGUAAUAGAGCAUAUAUAUCUCGAUGCCCCCUCACCUCGGUCUUAUUUGGAUGAGGCCUUCUCGACUUUAAAGUCGUCUAUGAUUGAACAACCCAUGGGAAUAAAGCUCUUCAUGGGGGGCUUUGGGGCCACUUCGGUAGCAGUCACUUCGGGAGCAACCACCUCGGGAGCAGCCAUCUCGAGAAUAACCACCUCAGAAAUGGUUGCCUCAGUACCUGUGGCCGGAUGGGAAGAUGAAGUGGCAGCCUACUGAGGAGCUGAUUUGGAAUUCUUGGCCAUCGUGAUCUGUAGAAUAAGAAGAUUUGAAGGGAAAAUAUGCAGGUUUGAAGGAAAGAUAUGAAGGUUUGAAAGAAAAGGUAUAAAGGUUUGAAGGUAGGAUGAAGAUCUAGGUAGAACCCUAAGAACGGUUAUGUCACGACCUAAAAUCCCAAGUACCGUGAUGGCGCCUAUCAUGAUUCUAGGCAAGACGACAACUCACACAUACCGACAUCUUGAAAUUUAAAAUAUACAAAAAUAAGCUUAAGCAAGUAAAAGUCUCAUAAAACUGAAUGAAAACGUUAUAGCUCAAUACAGAAUUUUCCAAAACCCGGGUGUCACUGAGUACAUGAGAAUCUAUACAAAUACAUAGUCUGAUACACUAUCUAAGAAAGUAGAACUGGAUAAGUAAAACUAAGGGAUAGGGGAGGAGAGUCAAGGUCUGUAAACGUCAAGGCAGCUACCUCGAUAAUCUCCGAACAGCUAAAAACUCUGAGAUCAACAACCACCGUGCCCGAAAACACCUGGAUUUGCACACGAAGUGCAGGGUGUAGCGUGAGUACAACCAACUAAAUAAGUAACAAGUCUAAACUUUGGACUGGAAGCAGUGAUGAGUCCGAAAAAUACGGUCCAAAUACAUAAUUAAACAGUAUGAAAAUUUACAGAACAUAUAUGUCAAGUCUGAAUGAUAUGAGGAAUAUGACAUCUCUAGAUCACAUGCAAAUAUGCAUAUCGUAUGUGAUGCAACACAAUGAAAGCCUCGCGUACUCACACUCUCGGAGUACUUAACCCGCCUGUUUUAAUUCUCACUCAUCACACUCAAUUACUCAGCACUGUACAGGGCAGAUCUAGCUCAGGGCAGAUCCAACCUGAAUCAAAUAUCAUGAAUCAAUAGCAACUGCACUCAGUGUGGGUGUUCAGACUAUGGAGGGGCAGAUCUAGCCCAAGCACUAUAAUAAGCCAAUCAUGGCUUGAAUCAAUAAAUCCUGCUGUGACGUGCAACCCGAUCCCAUAAAUAUCACUCACAAAUAGGCCCUCGGCCUCACUCAGUUAUCAAUCUCUCCAGUCUCUCGGGCUCACAACACUCAUGCUAAACAACCCAAAUCAAUGAUACGUGAUAUGACAAUGUAUGAUAACAGAGACUGAGAUAUGAUAUGCAAUGAUGAAUGUGACUGAGUACAUAACUGCACUUAAGCAAAUAACUCAACAGCAAAGAAUGACCAUUGUGGGUCCCUAUAGUACCAGCACAUAGCCUAAACAUGAUUUCUAGCAUAAAUCACAGCUCAAGUGCUCUAACACAUGGAGUACAGUAAUGAUAUUCAGAUGAGAUAGCUACACAGUUCUAUGGAAUCGACUUAAUAACAAUUACUAUGGUUCCGUCACCUAGCAUACGCGUCACCUCAACACCAAUCACAUAACACGUAAUUUCGGGGAUUCAUACCCUCAGAACCAAGUUUAGAAAUGUUACUUACCUCAAACCAUGCAAAUCUCUACUCCAACAAGCCCUUGCCUCGUGAAUUGGCCUCCGAAUGCCUCAAAUCUAGCCAAAAACAAUUCGAUACAAUCAACUCAAGCUAUAUGAAUCAAUUCCAUAUGAAAAUGCUAAGUUCUUAAUCAAAAGUCAAAAAGUCAACCCCGGGCCCACAUCUCGAUAUUCGAUGAAAGUUACAAAAUUCGAACACCCAUUCAACCACGAGUCCAACUAUACCAAAAUCACUCAAAUCCGUUACCAAAAUCCCGCUCAAAUUCCCAAAAUUCGGCCUAAGAAGUUUUCUCCGUUUUUCCAAAUUUUUCUACCCAAAUCACUAAUUAAAUGAUGAAAUCUAAGAUCUAUUCAUGUAAUUUAACCAAAACCAAGUAAGAAUCACUUACCCCAAUCACUCCCUUGAAAAUCUCUCCAAGAGUCGCCUCAAACCGAGAUCCCAAAAUCAAAUUGUGAAAUAAACUCAAACCCUCGUUUUUGAGAUUUAAUAUUCUGCCCAGAAGUCCUUAAUCGCGAUCGCGAAAAAUUCCUCGCGAUCGCGAAGCACAAACUAAGCUGCCCAAAAAUUAAACCUAUGCGAACGCGACAAUAUCCACAUGAACGCGAAGCACUGCCUACUCAGACCUACGCGAUUGCGUCCCUCUUCAUAUGAUCGCGAAGAACAAAACAUGUGUACUCAGCUCCUACCUCAUUUCCUUUUCGCGAACGCGGCCUAGCCCACGCAUUCGCGAUUCACUGCUUCACUAACCUACGCGAUCGCAGCCCUCAACUCGCGAAUGCGUAAAGUAAAAAUCCCAGCUGCCCAAACAAGCCUUCGCGAACGCGGACCUAUCCACGCGAUCACAUAGAAGGAAACCAGACAUGCACACUAGAAAGACUUCAACAAUCUUCCAAGUCAAAUUUCACUCCGUUAACCGUACGAAAUCCACCCGAGGCCUCCGGUACCCUAACCAAACAUACCAACAAGUCCUAAAACAUCAUACGAACAUAGUCGAGGCCUCAAAUCACAUCAAACAAUAUCAAAAAUUCGAAUCGCACCCCAAUUUAAGCCUAAUGAACUUAUGAACUCCUAACUUCUACAUUCGAUGCCGAAACCUAUCAAAUCAAGUCCAAUUGACCUCAAAUUUUGAACACAAGUCAUAAAUGACAUAACCGACCUAUUCCAAUUUCCAGAACCAAAUUUUGAUCCCAGUAAUCACAAAGUCAACUCUCGGUCAAACUUUUCAAUUUCCAAAACUUUUAAUUUUCCAACUUUUGCCAUUUCAAGCCUAAAUCAACUACGGACCUCCAAAUUAUUAUUCGGACAUACUCCUAAGUCCUAAAUCACCCAACAGAGCUAUCAGAACAAUCAAAACUCUAUUUUUAAGCCAUUUACACAUAAGUCAACACCCGGUCAACCUUGUCAACUUAAGCUUCCAACAUUGAGACUAAGUGUCUCAACUCAUUCCGUAACAUCUCCGGAACCGAACCAACUACCCCGACAAGUCAAAUAAUGACAAUUGAGCGUAAAAUAAGCAGUAAAUGGGUGAGCGGGGCUACAACACUCAAAAUGACUGGCCGGGUCGUUAUAUUAUCCCCCUCUUAAACAAACAUUCGUCAAACAUACCCGGAGUCUCAAAUAGGUGUGGAUAUCUUCUCUGCAUCUCCCGCUCGGUCUCCCAAGUAUCCUCCUCGACUGGAUGGCCUCUCCACUGCACCUUCACUGAAGCUAUGUUCUUUGACCUCAACUUUUGAACCUGUCGAUCCAAAAUGGCCACUGGCUCCACAUCAUAAGUCAAAUCACCAUCCAACUGAGCCGUGCUAAAAUCCAAAACAUGAGACGGGUUGGGGACAUACUUCAGGAGCAUAGAAAUAUGAAACACUAGAUGAACACUCGACAGACUAGGCGACAAGGCAAGCUUGUAAGCCACUUCUCCAAUCCUCUGAAGCUCUUCAAACAGACCAAUGUACCGAGGGCUCAACUUGACCUUCUUCCCAAACCUCAUAACACCCUUCAUGGGUGAAAAUUUGAGCAGUACCUUCUCCCCCACGAUGUAAGAAACAUCACGAACCUUCCGAUCAGCGUAACGCUUCUGCCUAGACUGCGCCGUGCAAAGCCGAUCCUAAAUCAACUUAACAUUGUCCAGAGCAUCUUGAACUAAGUCAGUACCUAACAGCCUAGCCUUACCCGGCUCAAACCAUCCCAUCGGAGACCGACACCGUGUCCCAUAUAAAGCCUCAUACGGAGCCAUCUGGAUGCUCGAUUGGUAGCUGUUGUUGUAGACAAACUCUGCAA
rnacentral:lncRNA from 1 species